AUUGAACGCUGGCGGCAGGCUUAACACAUGCAAGUCGAACGAGUGGCGGACGGGUGAGUAAUGUCUGGGAAACUGCCCGAUGGAGGGGGAUAACUACUGGAAAGGGUAGCUAAUACCGCAUACCAUCGGAUGUGCCAAGAUGGGAUUAGCUAGUAGGUGGGGUAAUGGCUCACCUAGGCGACGAUCCCUAGCUGGUCUGAGAGGUUGACCAGCCACACUGGAACUGAGACACGGUCCAGACUCCUACGGGAGGCAGCAGUGGGGAAUGUUGCACAAUGGGUGCAACCCUGAUGCCGCCAUGCCGCGUGUAUGAUGAAGGCCUUCGGGUUGUAAAGUACUUUCAGCGGUGAGGCGUUACUUGCAGAAGAAGCACCGGCUAACUCCGUGCCAGCAGCCGCGGUAAUAC
rnacentral:rRNA from 1 species